rnacentral:rRNA from 1 species
CCUACGGGGUGCAGCAGUGAGGAAUAUUGGUCAAUGGACGCAAGUCUGAACCAGCCAUGCCGCGUGCAGGAAGACGGCUCUAUGAGUUGUAAACUGCUUUUGUACGAGGGUAAACGCCGAUACGCGUAUCUCUCUGAAAGUAUCGUACGAAUAAGGAUCGGCUAACUCCGUGCCAGCAGCCGCGGUAAUACGGAGGAUUCAAGCGUUAUCCGGAUUUAUUGGGUUUAAAGGGUGCGUAGGCGGUCGGAUAAGUUAGAGGUGAAAUCCCGAGGCUCAACUGGGUGAAGUGCCAUUGAUACUGCCGUGCUGGAAUGCGGAUGCCGUGGGAGGAAUGUGUGGUGUAGCGGUGAAAUGCAUAGAUAUCACACAGAACACCGAUUGCGAAGGCAUCUUACGAAGCCGCGAUUGACGCUGAUGCACGAAAGCGUGGGUAUCAAACAGGAUUAGAUACCCGGGUAGUC